UUUGAAGGUCCGAUCAAUGAGGUCGACAACUCAAAAACUUUGUUUCUUUUUUCGCUAAUUCUACAGGUAACGAUGAUAUUGUACGAGGUUCUAAGGCUGUACCCACCGGUGGUUGAGCUAGGACGUUCCGUUCCAAAAGAAAUAAAACUGGGGAAUUUGUUGUUACCAGUAGGAACAGAAGUUUCGGUUCCGAUCCUGCAGAUCCACCAUGACAAAGAUCUUUGGGGUAACGACGCACGGGAAUUUAAGCCAGAGCGGUUCGCGGAAGGGGUUUCCAAAGCAACAAAGAGUCAAGUCACGUUUCUGCCAUUCGGAUGGGGUCCUAGGAUCUGUAUUGGCCAAAAUUUUGCUUUGAUGGAAGCCAAAAUGGCGAUGGCUAUGAUUCUCCAACGCUUCUGGUUCGAGCUUUCCCCUUCCUAUGCUCACUCUCCUUACAGCAGGGGAACUCUUCGUCCACAGCAUGGUGCACAGAUAAUUUUACAUAAACUUGGCUGUAAUUGAAUUGUUAUGUAAACAAAUCUUUGUGAAAACAUAGCGUUUUAGUGUAUCGUCAAAGUCCGGUGUCUGUAAUGGUACAAAUUCGAUGCAUGAAUAGUAAAUUUUGAGAUGUUUGGUGAAGUCCGAAAUAAUAUGCAGAAAUUGAGCGUCUAUGGUGGACAUAGUUGAGGGACUAAUGUGGUAAUUAUCAAUCAAAUAAUUCGGUACAAAGACUUGUAUGGAAAUUAAAGCAGGGGGAGUUGAAAAUGACUACUCUGCUUUGGGCAUCAAUUUAGAAAGAUUUAAAGUACAACUGUGUUAUCAGUUAAGGGAUUUGUUUUAAAGAGGGAAUGACAAUUAAACCUCAUGGUUUAUUUGUGCAAGGGAACCGAUGAUGGGAUGAUUAUUCUUAGUGGUAAAAAAAACCAUUAUGGAGGUUAUUACACUUGUUAUCAUCAGCUUAAAAUUCGAAUGGGUUCAAGUCGGAUUAUAUCGAGCUUGUAAGAUGAGUUCACGGACCAAGUUUGCAUAAUAAAAUACCUAAAUGAAAAAAAAUUCUAUUUUAGAGGGACGAGAGCCCCUAUCAACUCCCGGCUCAGCCACUAAACAAUACCUAUAUCAUAUAAAUAAAUACCACCAUCUAAAAGACUCAAAGAAAAACACUCAACAAAGGAUAAAUAGAUAGAUGUUGGAUAAGUGUCCAAAAUAUGAUUUAAGUGAAGAUACAUGUGGUAGGUGUUACGGAAAUGUGAAGACAAGAAUCCCACUAACGUAUGGGAUGUGUGCAGUUGAAUGUAGGGAGCAAAAAGAGGAGUGAAUCAUUUUGGUAACAUUUGGACAAGAAACAUAAUGAACAAAAUGGAAGGAGAGGAAGCUAGUAAAAGAAUUUUUUUGGGUCAUAUAAUUUGUUCAUUUUGGAGUUGAAUUAUAAUUUUUUUAUAUAUUAUUUUAAAAUUUUAAGGAGUUAAAACAAAAUUAUUUUAUUUUCAGAUGGUCAAAGUAGAGGUGAUAAUGGGUUGGGCUAUUCGGCCCGGCCUGACGAUUCACUCGAAAAAUAGGAGGGUUUAGGUAAAAAUAUAGGCUCGAAAUAGGGAUUUGAGCAAAAAAAGAGUCCCGUUUAGAAAAUGGGCCAGGCCUCGGGUAAAAUUUUUUGGGCCCAAGCCUGACCUGAAUUAUAUAUUAAAUAUAUUUUUUAAUUUUUAAUCAAAUAUACUUUUUUUUAUUAAUUUGGUUAUUAUUUUAGUUCUAAUUUGUUUCAAUUUUAAUAUAACCACUUUUUAUUAUAUUUUCAAUUUGUGUAUUGUUUUAAGAAUUGUUUUAGUCUCAUUUUUUUAUUUAUUUUUUGUUUUAAUAAUUGUUUUAAAAAUUUUUAUUUAAUGAAAUAAGCUAAAAAAAUUAAUAUGGGCUUGGCCAGGCCAGGCUCGGGCCUAGUAAUUUUCUUUUGGGCCGGACUUAGAUAAAAUUUUAAGCCCAUAUUUUAAAUUGGGUCCUAACCUAAAAAAUGAACCUAAAAUUUUAUAUGGGCCCGACUUGGCCCUUGAUUACCUUUAGGUCAGAGCUAUCCUCGUUUUGCAUUUCUUUGAGAUUCAGCCUUAUCUACUGUGAUUGCCCACUCAAUUGAGGGUUGAGUAGAAAGAUUUGGUGAAGCAAGCUAAGCUAUCAAUCAAGGUUUGCAUAAUUAUUUAAAUGUAAUUCUAAUAUUAAAAUAAUUUUUUUAUUAAUAUAGUAUCAACAAGCAUUAAAUGUAAUGAUCAUAUACUAUUACAUUUUAAAGAAGAGAAAACAUGUUUGAACUUUAAAAACCACGUUACUAAAAACAUUAUCACAAACCUUGAAAUAUAAAAAAUAAUUUUUUUAAUAUAAUAAAAAAUUAAUUUUAAACCCGAGCUGAAUAAAAUUCUAAUUUUAGUUAAUGAUACGAACAACAAAUCAAUAUUCUAAGCCCGAGCCCUGCUCAUUUUUUUAAUAAACACCAAAAAUUUAUUUUGAAAAUAAAAAAUAAAAAAAAUAUUUUAAAAAUAUUUUAAAAAUAAAAAAAAUUAAAAAUAAAUAUUUAUUAUAUAUUCAGGCCGGGCCGGGCUAGCCUUGGGCUAAAAAAAUGGUGCCCGAGGCCCGGCCCAUUUUCUAAAUAGGCCUCAUUUUUUGUCCAAACCCAUAUUUUGGGCCUAUAUUUUUACCCGAACCUCUCAUAUUUUGGGCGGACCGUCGGGCCGGACCGGGCCGCCCGGCCAUGAACACCUCUAGGGCAAAGUCACUCAAUGAAUGCAUGGAAAGAAAUAUUGCAACUUGGUGACAGCUUUUGUUGGAGUUAUAUGCUUUUUUUUACAUAGUGGAACUUUCGGUGGAUUUUCAAGUUUCAUGAACUUUAUACCCUAGGCUUUACGUGAAAAAAAUCAUUGGACUUAAAAGUCUACCAAAAGUUUCACUAUAAUAAAUAAAUAAAUAAAUAACAUUGCUACAAGACUACAACAUAAAGUUACAAUAAGAGCUUAUAACUCAACAAAGGCUAUCAAUAAAUAAUCUCAAGCAAGCUAAAGAGAAAUGUUGAGAGUACCACUCAAAUAGUGAUUGACUUUAAAAAUUGAAAACCCGAAGUUAUUGUUGACACCAUUUUUUGGAUGAAAAUGUGUCGACUUGGGUUUUGAAAAUGAAAACGAAAACGAGAGUCGCCACCAAUCCUUUUUGAUAAGGUGUGACUGGGUCACCUUGAAAAGUGGUUGUUUUUAAUAAACGAUUUGAUUUUAUUAAAACAACAGUUUUGGUCCACGAAAUUCAGAAAAAUGAGUUCGGGAGUCGGUUACGCACGAGGAAGGAUUAGCACCCUCGAUACGCCCAAAAUUGGUACCUAGUUGAUUACUUAAUGUCUUAAUGUCGAAAAUUGAAAACUUUGGAGAAUUUUAAACAUACGAUCCUUGUAUUAAAACGUUAAAAAUUUUCAAGAAAAUGGGAUAUUUCACGUUAUUCGAUAAAGAGAAUCAUAUCCUAGUAAGUUAGGACACAAUAUCUCGAAUUUCCGAUAUCAUUUAAAACUUGAGUUUGAAAAGAUUCGUGUAAUAAAGUUUAAAAUAAUAUUCAAUUGUUUAAAUCAAAUGAAGAAAUCGCAACCCAAUACGUUAGGGCACAAUUUCUCAAAAUAUUAAACAUUGAAUAUUGCAUUUAUUUCGAAAAAUCCUCAUCUCGAGAAAACGUGUCACAUCCAAUGCAUUAGAAUACAACGUAUUGAAUUCUCGAUAACGAGCUUUUUCUCAUUUUUUAAAAGAGUAAUCUCGAUUAUUUAGGUUCAACGAAGAAAAUCAAAACCCAAUACGUUAGGGCUCGAUUUUCUCAAAGAUUCCAAAUACCGAGUAUUACUUAUAUUUUUAAAAUUUCUUUUUUGAAAUCCGAGUAAAAAUGAAUGCAAAAUAAUAAAUGAUGACAAUGUAAAUAAAAUGAUACAAGCAAAACAAUAAACAAUAAAAAUAAUCAUACGGGCAAGGUAACAAAUAAUUAGGAACUAAAGAAAGAGAACAAACAAUAAUAAACAUGCAAAUAAAUGAACAAAAUUAACAACAUGAUGCAAAUAUGAAAGAUAUAUAAGCACAUAUAUAUACAUAAAAUAAUGAGAAUAUGAAAAAAUGUGUGUAAUUGGACAUGUUUCGGAAUUAUUAUACAUUUAAAAAUCAUGUAAAUGUGUGUACAUACAUAUAUACAUAUAUAAUAAUCAUUAAAUAUAUAAAAAUACAUAUGUGUAGGUAUAUAUGAGUCAUAAAAUGUAAAGAAUAUAUACAAGAUAUAUUUUGAACGUAUAAAGUAUAUGUAAAUGUAUAUAUAUAAUAAAGGUGUAUGAAAGCAUAUUUUAUAUACGUGUAUUUAUAAAAUGUAUAUAAAUGUAUAUUGAUUUACCAAUACAUAUGGAUUUAUAAUUAUAGAAUAUAUAUAAAAUAUUUACAUAUAUACGUUUAUGCAUAUAUAAAAGUAAGUUAUUAUAAAAUAUGAGCAAGCAGAAUACAUAAAUAUAUAUACAUAAAAUAAAAAUGAAGAUGAAAAUAAUAUAAAACUACUUAAUAUAUUAAUAUAAUAGUAACAAAUUAAAAAAACAGAAAAUAAAGCUAAUAAUAAUUAAUAAUAGUAGUAAUAAUUAUAGCAGCAAUGAUAAUGAUAAUAAUAAUAACACUAAAAAAAUUAAUUAAAUAAUAAAAUUGCUAAAAAGGGAUUAAAUCGAAAUAAAAACAUAAAUACUGGGCGAUUUUGAAAUAAAAAACGGGAAGGACCGAAUUGCAACGCGCGUUGAAAAGGAAAGGGCCAAAACUGCAAAUAAACCACAGCCCCAAAACGCAGCGUUGAAAUGGACCAAGUCGAAAUAAAAAUAAAAUUGCAGGGGCUAAAUUAAAAAUAAGAGAAAAUAACGAAAAAUGAUCAAAUUGUAAUACGCUGCAAAAUCAGGGGGACUGCACGCGCAAAUAGCCCAAAAACUGAAAACACGCGGAUCCUCCGGGUCGGGUCGGGUCGGGUCAGGUCGACGUGCGGAUCCCCUUUGCUAAAACGGCGUCGUUUCAUGUUUAAUAUAAAUACUAAAAAAAGCUAAAAAAAACAGUUUCAUCUUUUUUUAAAAAAAACAGAGAGAAAACUCUCUCUUUUUCCCUCAGGUCCGGCCAUGGUCCGGCUUGGGAUUUCCGACGAGUCUCCGCCGCAAAGCCACCGUGUGUGGCGGCCGGAGGUUCAAAAUCAGACCUUUUUGGUCCUUUUUUAAAGUCCAUGGCCUCCAAGCCACAGAUCCGGGGCUGAAUCUCCUGAAUCGAAAGCCGAAGACCCAAAAAAUGGGGUGAAAUCCUUCGCCUUCCUCCCCCUUCCGGCGCUGCGCAGGUAAGGUUUUUUUUAACUCCUUUUUUACUAUCUUUAUUUAUAUAUAUACAUGAAGAGAAAAGAGAGCAAAAUAAAUAAAUAAAUAAAAACUUCAAAACUGAAGAGAAAAAGACCUUGAAUCUGCCUUAUUUAUUUUCUUUCGGUUGAAUCUGUUUUUGUUUGUUACAAAAGUUUCCAGGGAAGAGAAAAAAAAAGAGAGUUACAUGCUUGGCUUUUAUAGCCGAUAUUAAUUUCUAUUUUUUGUUUUCUUUUUCCUUUCUUUUCUUUGGCUGUUGCGUGUUUGCUUCCUUAUUGCAGGGUGAUUGACGGGAGUGGUUGGCGACAGAGUCGGUGGCCACUUGCACUGAUGAAGCAGCGGUGGCGGCGCUAGGGUAGGCUAGGGACGGCGGCAGUACUAGGGUUUCAGAAAACUGAAACCCUAGUUUGACAAAUUGGUUUCGGGCCUGUUGGGCUUUAAAUUAUGGGCUUUGUAAUUGGGUUUUGGGUUUAGGUGAUUUGGGUUUAGGUGGUAUGGGCCCGGGUCAAAUUUUGGGUAAUGGGAUUGGGGCAAAAUUGGGUUGUACAGUUAUAAUAUCCCAAACGAAAUCAAACUAUAAACAUUAAAUUUUUCGAGUCUUCUAGAUACUGUAAAAAAUUCAGCUCCAACGGACACCAAAUGAACCUAUGAUCGAAGAAAAUACGAAGACUAGUCUGGCUAAAUCAAUCUGCCAAACUUACUUUUUAUCUUAUCUUUAAUUUGCUGUGAAAUUCAAAACUACGUGUAAUACUCAAUUUAUGCUCGACCCAUUUUGUUAAAACAAAUAAAAAAGAAAAGAAAAACAAAAUAUUUAAAUUUAGCCCAAAUGUCCAUUUACACAGCCCAAUUACAAUUGCAAAUAAAAAAAACUAAAACUAAACCCGAUCCUAAGCAUCAGCCCAAAUUCGACCCAUGCCCAAAACGAAUUCAGAUGCAGAAACCCUAGCCCAGCCUUAAUGCAAGCAAAAGUCGAAAGCCCUAAUAGUUGGUGCGCCGCUCCUGUAACAGCCCGAUUUUGGGCCUAGUCGGAACAGUGGUUUUGGGACCACAAAUCCGACGAGAAAAAAAUGUAAUGGCCCGAAUUUUCAGAGGUGUCAGAACGGUGAUUCGAGAUCACUAAAUUCGACAAAUGGGUAGAAAAUAUUAUUAAUUUAGUAAGUAUAAGUUAAAUGUGAAGUUAGGAAAAUUUUUGAAAUGGUGAAUAGUACACUAGAAAUAAAUAUUAAAAUAAUUAGAAUCGAAAAUGAGGUAUCGAGACCUCGGGGAUUUUAAACCGAGCCAUAAAUAUUUUUAUAAAUAUUUAUGUAGUCUUAAAAAGUUAGUAUUAAAGUUUCGUUAAGAAAUUUUAAAGUUCCGAUAAUUAAUUGAACAAAAAGGACUAAAUUGUAACAAAUACAAAAUUAUGAGAAAUGAUUAAAUAGUUUAAAUGAUAAAAGGAAGAGGGCUUAAAAGGUAAAUAGACCCAAGGUCUAUUUGGGCUGCACGGCAAAGGCAUGAAAUCAGCAACAAAGUAAGGAGAAUUAAGGGCAAAAUUGGAAUAUUGCAAAAUUUACUUAAUAAAGUUAGGACCAAAGUGGAAUUAUCUAGAUUUCUCUUUAUUUUUCUGCAUUAUCAUCAGCAUAAACACCAUAGAAGGGUUUUCUUAAGCUGGUUCUUCCUAUUUUUACUGCAGGUAAGUUCAAUUCUUGAUUAUUUCUUGAAAAUUUUGUGUUUUUGUGACUUUUACAACUAGGCCCACUUAUUGUAUUCAUUAGUUUUUGAUUCUAUGAAAGAAGUUGAAAGUUGCUAUGAAUACAUGCUGGAAGUAUAUGAUGAUUUAGCAUGGAAUUAGAGCUUUAAAUUGUUCAUAUGCUGAUUUAUUGAAAGAAUUGAAUAGAAAGUGAAUGUUUGGGACCUAAUAGUAAAAGAGUUUGAAGAUAGAGUUAUAUGUGGAAAUUCUGAAUUUCAAUAGUUGUGAAACAACUUAUAAUGUCUAGGUUAAGUAUUAAUUGAGAAAAUUAAAUUAAUUGAGGGGUUAAUUGAGAAAGGACCGAAUUGUAUAAACUGUGAAAUUUGGGGCAAAAAGGAAAUCAACAUUUUACACUAAAGCAGUUUUGGACAGCAGCAGUAGUAUAACUUUGAAAAAUCACCAAAAAUUUUGAGAAUUGAAUUAGAGGGUGAAUAAAAUAUAAAAUUAAAGCUCCUUGAAUCUAGUUUCUCAUAGAAGAAACGGUGUAAGCAAUGGAAUUGUAAAUCAUGAGAUAUAAUAAAUUUUGUGAGACAAUGUCAUAAUGAUUUCGGGUUCCCCUAUUCUGACUUUGGAAAAUCAUCAAAAAAUUAAGAAAAAUAUGAGUUAUAAUUUAUAUGAUUACAAUCCUUAAUGAGUCUAUUUUCAAAGAAAAUAAACGGAAAUAUCAUCCAAAUUCUGUACAAUUAUAUAAUUCAUUUUUAGUGAAGAGUGGUCGAAACUGUCAGACAGCGAAAUAGGGGGAACUUUAAAGAAUAAACUGUACUAUUUGGCUGAACCAAAAAUUCUGAAAAUUUUAUGGUAAGAAGGUAUGUGAGUCUAGUUUUAAGGAAAAUUAACGGAUCUUAAUUUAGAGCUCUGUAGCUCUAGAUAAAAAUAAUUUAGUGACUCUGACUCAGAUAAAUAGCUUUGAAUGUACAUGUGAGUGAAUAGUGAAAUUAUAGCUAGUGUUGUUUAAGUGUGUUAUACACAUUAAGGAUAUGGAAUGGAGAGGAGGAGGAGGAGGAAAAAUUGGGAAAUAUAUGAAUGAUUUGUGUAUAAUUGGUCAUAUGCUUAAUUAUAAUUGAUAAACGAUGAAAUAGAAAUGAUGCAUAUAUUUGUGCAGUAUUGGUCAUGGUUUAAGCUCAUGUGGGAAAAUAAAGUUUAUAGUACGUGUGUAUUAUAUUUUUGGUAUAUGAUUUGGCAUUAAGUAAUGUCGUGAAUGGAUAUUGAAUUAACACAUGUUGGAAAGUUUGAUAUAUGAAUAAAUAUUGUGAUCAUGAAAGAGUGUUACAGCUCCUGCCUUCAGCACGCGUCGAGCCUCCGCGCCAAAUCCACGUGAGCCUCCGUACACUCCAACUAGCCUCCGUACCUGCAACAAACAAAAGUAGACAAAACAACAGCAAAGGAUAGGAAGAAAAGGCAGUAAAUAGUGAAGAUUUUUCUGUAAUUUUCUUUGGAUUUCAUUAUGUAUUUUCGGCUAUAAAAGAGCCAUUAGGAAUAUUUGUAAAGGGUUUUUUUUUUACCCUCACACACAAAGAGAAUAUACACGCAUACAAGAUCAAUAUAGAGAAAGAAAUAAAAAUAAAUAAAUACAAAGAAUAGAAAAUCAAGUUUCGAAGGUGAUUCUUUGAAAAAUCCUUUUCGUUUUUCUCAUUUUUCCUUUUUCCUGGAUCUUUUGUUCAUUUCAAGUAAAAAAAGUAUAGAAAGGAAACAAGUUUAGAGGAAGGAGGUUUACCUGGACGCCGGACCUCGCUCGCCUCGUCGAAAUCGAAGGCUGAGAGGGGAUAAAUCGGUUUUGCGGCAGAAGGAAAGGGGGGCUAGGGUUCUUGUUUUAACUUUUUUAAAAAAAAUAGAAAAGGUUGCUAAUUAGGUUUUAAUGGGGGAUUUAUGUGUGUUAAAAAAACGACGUCGUUUAGCGACCUUUGACCCGUGCGGUGACCCGACCCGAGGAAAGGAUCUGCGCGUUUUGGGUCUGAUGGGUUUAUUGCGCAACAAGCCCUUCCGCAUUUGUUUUUCGUUUCAAUUCGGUUUUUAUUUGUUUUUUAAUUGUUUUCUCAUAUUUAGUUCCAAUUUCAAUUGGGUCCAUGAUUAAACGACAUCGUUUUCAUUGAUUGGGUUUGAAGGCCUGGUUUUGUGCGUCUAAAUUGCAGCAAUGGUCCCCCUGAUGUGCAAUAGUUCUCGAUUUAGUCGUCUCCACACUUAUUUCAAAGUCGUCCUUGAGAUUUUGUUUUAUUUUUGAAAUUGUCCUUGUCUUCUUUUAAUUUAUAAUGAUAUUAUUAUUAUUGUUGUUGUUAUUAUUACUAUUAAUAUGGGUAUUGUUAUCAUGUUAGUUUAUAUCUAUUUAUUUACUUUUAUUUUAUUAUGUAUUAUUAUAUAAUGCUUUUAUCAUGUAUCAUUUUAUAUAUUUUCUAUGUUAAUCUAAUAUGAUAUAUAUAUAUAUAUGUAUUUUUGUGAUCUUAUUUUAUAAUACUUUUUUAACCCAUUUAUAUGCCUUUAUGUUUUAAAGAUUUAUAAUAUUUUGUGCAAAACUAUUAUAUAUAUAUAUAGAUAUACAAUUUAUAUUAGACCAUUUUUAUCGUACAUAUACGUAUAUAUAAUUUAUAUUUUGAAACUCUAUUUUAUUAUAUUUUAUGCCUCUAUAUACAUCAUUAUAUGUUUAUUAUUCUUUAUAUUAAACCUGCCAUUUCACUUAUAUAUUUUUAAAACCAAUGUGUAUUAUUCUUUCUUCUUUGUUAUUUUUUAUCUCUUAAAAUAGAUUGAUAAUUCAUUUAAUUUUUGAAUGUUGUAUGACCGAGAUUAUCGUUGCCAUUCUUGUCCAAAUUUAUCCAUUGCUUGUUCAUAUUAUUUGAUAAUUUAUCGCUCACUAGCAUGUAUCGUAAUUUACGAAUUAUCAUUUUGAAUUAUGUACUACCAUUCAAUCGCAUUACAUUUGUUUGGAAAACAUCGAAAUCGUUUUGCACAUAAACCUUCAAAAUGCUUGGUAUCCAAAAUUCUCGAGAGGAUUGUGCCCUAAUUUAUUGGGCUUCAAUUCCCCUUUUUGAUUUUAAAUAACCGAAUACCCCUUUUUCAAUUUGAACAUAGAAAUUCCAAAAUAAAAAAAAACUCAUUCUCGGGAAUUUGAUGCGUUGUGUCCUAACGUAUUGUAUAUGACAUAUUUUUCUCGAGACGAGGAUUUUUCUAACAAAUAAAAAUAAAGGCAAUAUUCGAUAUUUAGGAAUUUUGUGAAAUCGAACCCUAACUUACUGGGUUUUGAUUUUUUCAUUUGACCCAAGUAGGAUAUCCUUCACAAAUGCACAGAUUUUAAAAAAUCAAAAGAUAAACUUAAUUUCGAGGAUUUAAAAUGUUACACUCUGACUUACUGAGUGUGUCAAUUUAUUUCUUUGAAAUAAGUGAGUCUUAUCAUCCAAUUUAUUUUAUUCAAAUUUUCUUUUCCAAGGAUCGUAUUUUAAAAUUUUUUCAAAAUUUCGACAUUAAGACAUUAAGCAAUCAAUUCAGUACCAAUUUUGGGCGUCACGAGGGUGCUAACUCUUCCUCGUGCGUAAUCGACUCCCGAACCAGUUUUCUCAAAAUUCACAGACCUAAAAUUAUUUUCAAGGUGAUCCGAUCACACCACAAUAAAAGAUCAGUGGUGACUCCCAUUCCUAUUUUUAAAAGUCGAUUCCUGUUUUUCAUAUAUAAAAAAAUGGUUUCGACACUACGGUUUUGUUUGUUUCCCUUAGAACAACUUUCAAAAAGUUAAUUUUGAAAAAUGGAUUGAAUUUUCAAAAUAGAUGAUAUUUUUUUGUGUUAAAAUUUUAUUCGUUGUUUGAAAAAAAAAUUUAAAUCAUUUUCUUAGAAUUAUUUUUAGUGAAACAAAUAUAUCAUAAAUAUAUUUGUUAUAAAAUAUUAUAUUAAUAUUUUCUUUUAACAAUUAAAAUAUAUUUUGUGAUAAGGUAAUAUUUUAUAAUAAUUAAUAUCAUAUAUACUUAAUAAUAAAUCAUGUCUAAUUAAAAUUUAAUUUCAAUUAAAUAUAUUAAUAAAGCUACAUUUAAUCAUAUUUUAUAUAAUUAAAAUAUUAAUAUAAAUAUUUUUCAAUAAUAUAUUAAAGAAUAUUUAAAAUUUAAAUUUAUUAUUACUAAGAUUAAUUAUUAAAACAAAAAUGUAAUAUUAAAUAAUUUAUCCAAUGAUAAGUUAUAUUAAUAAUUUAUUAUAUUAUUAAAUAUAAAUAAUUAAAUAUGUAUGUUUAAUAAUAUUAUGUUAUAAUAUUUAUUACUAAUAUUUUAAUAUUUUUAAACAACCAUGUUUUAAAGAUGGUGGUGAUGGUGAUGGUGCAGGCCCCCUUGUUAAAAUUACAAUAUUUUUAAGUGGGAUGCAUGUAAUAUAUUGUUAGGGUUUUAGAGUAUGUGGUCUUUAAAAGGGUUAAAUUAUAUAUUUAUAUAAUAUGAUUAUUGUUUAUAAACAUAAUAUUGUAGAUAAGUUUAUAUGUAUGUCAAUAUGUAUCCUACUCUAAGGUUAAUAUGUAUUUUUUAGAUGUGGGUUUACCUAUAUAAUAGUAUGAAUCCAUCAUGUGGUCUCAUGAAAUAUACAAACACAUAUCGUGCGAACACAAAGUACGAACAAUAAAAAAUACAAAUCAAGACCCAAUUGAAUAAUUGAAUAACGGAUAGGUAAUAAUGAAUAUCAUAACAUUUACUAUCCCCUCUUUUCUAGUGAGUUAUUGUUUAUGAUAAAUUUGCAACAAAUGUUUUUAUCAUUAUUUUGUUGGUAAAUGAUAAUAAGAUUAAACAUUACUUUCUUAAGCUCCUUCAAUUCUUUGGACGUUAGCGAGUAAACUUGAGCUUCAGCAUUCCACAAACACCUUAAUUUGAAGACACAGUUCUCUCAUACUAAAAACGACAUGGACGUUUACCUUGUAAUUAGAGAUUUGGGCUCAUUGUUGGGUUAUUAAUGAUACGGGGAUGGAGAGCUUUAAACUGGGUAUGGUUGGCCCCAAAGAGGCUCGAAACGUGCUUGAGACUAGAGGUGAUCAAGGGCCGGGUUAGGCCCAGUCUAGAAAAAAAAUUAGGCCCAUUUUUUAGAUUUGAACUCGGCUCGGCUCAAAAUAUAAGCUUAAAAAUUUGUCUAAGUUCAGUCCGAAAGAAAAUUGUUAAGCCCAAGCUCGACCCAUAUUAAAUUUUACAACACCAAAAAAGUAUAUUUAAAUAAAAAUAAAAUAUAUAUAUUUAAUAUAUAAUUCGGGCCGAGCUGAACUCGGGCCAAAAAAGUUUUACUCGGGGCUGGUCCGUUUUCUAAACAGACUUCGUUUUUUUUGCCAAAAUCCAUAUUUUUACCCGAAUCUUCCUAUUUUUUGGGGUGUGCCGUCGGGCCGAACUGGGUAACCGAACCAAUGAUCACCUCUGUAAUCACUGAAUUUUGUCCGGGAAUAACUUUCGUUAAAAAAAUUUUAAAAUUAAAAAAAAAUUAACUUUUUUGCUUUUUGACCCCUAAACUUUUCUAAAAUUUCAUUUUAACCCCUAAACUUUCUCAAAAUUACAGUUCAACCCCUAAACUUUUCUAAAUUACAUUUUGACCCCUAAAAUUUCUUAAAAUUACAUUUGGACCCUUACACUUUCUCAAAAUUACGUUUCGGCCCCAAAAUUUUUGCUACAUUUACAAAUUGGUCCUUCUGUCAGAAAAUCCCCAAUAAUCCGGCGGAUUUCGUGCACCUGCCCCACUAUUUCCGGCAGCCGGCCUAGGGCAUGGCCUUCCCCACCUGCUACCUGCAAACAAGAAGCAAAAUCAACUAUAAAAAGGAGUUUAAACUCCAAAAAUCGGACCCCCACCCACGAAAAAAAUAAAAAAAAAAAACUUGAAAGAAAAAGAAAAAAGCUUUGAGAAAGAAAAAGAAAAGGAAAAGAAGAGAGGGGAGAAGGAGAGGCCGACCAUCGGCGAGCCACCGGAGGAGGCGACGGCAGCAGCGGCAUCGACGGCGGCGUAGAAGACCGAACGGAGAAGAAGAAGAAGAAGAAAAAAAAAGAAAGAAGAGAAAGAAAGAAGGAAGAAGAAGAAGAAAGAAACAAAAAAAAAAGAAAAUAUUUUGUAAUAGUCGGCCCGGCCCGACUCGACCUGCACGACCCGUGACCCGACCCGACAGCACCAGCAACCUAGCAGGCCACGGUAGCAGCCCGGCGGCCCAAAGAGUAGCCCAAAAAGAAAAAAAGAAGAAGAACAAAGCAAAAAAAAAAAGCAGGCCAUUUUCAGCAGGCCCAGUGCAGCCCAGCAGACCCAGCGAACCCAGCAGGCCAGGCCCACACGCAAGCAGCCCAACAGAAAAAAAGGGAAAGAAAAAGAAAAGAAAAAAGAAAAAAGAAAAAAGAAGAAGAAGGGGUUCAAUUUGUAUUAUCCGUUCGGCGAAGCUCGUGUUUUGAGGAUUUUUUUUCGGUAAUUUUAUUUUUUAAUUUUAAUUUAAUGCUCGUAUUUUUUUUAAAUAUUAUUAGUAUUUUAUGCAUUUUUAUAUUUUGGCAUUUAUAUUUUUAAUUUAAUUUACUUCAAUUUUUAUUUUAUUUUAUUUUAAAUAAUUUUAAUAAAUGAGGCAACGAAUCGAUUUAACAUAAAAUCGUUGAUUUCAUUGCUAUGUUGGGUGAAUAUCAUCGGUUUGUGUUAAACACGAUACACCCUUUUUAAAAAAAAGAAAAAAAUCGAAAAAAUUCUAAAAUUCUCAUUUUUUUAAAAUUCUCGUGUUUUAAUAGAAUCACGAUUAAAUAUUAAGUUGAAUCGAUUUGGCACUAAUUCGAUGAUUUCAUCUCCAUGUAGGGAUGAAUAUCAUUUAUUCGUGUUAAAUAUGGUACUUCUGAAAAAAAAUCGGGUUUCAAAAAUUUUCGUGUUUUCAAAAAUUCUCAUGUUUCAAAAAUCUUCGUGUUUUAAAAAUUCCAGUGUUUCAAAAAUUUUCGUGUUUUCAAAAAAAAAUUUCUCGUGUUUUUAAAAAUUCCCGUAUAUCGAAAUUUUCUUGUUUUCAAAAAAAAAAUUCCAUGUUUCAUAAAUUUCCGUGUUUUCAAAAAAAAAUUCUUGUUUUUCAAAAAUUUUCGUUUUUAAAAAAUUUGACCGUGUUUCAUAAAUUUUCGUAUUUCAAAAAAACCUCGUGUUUCAAAAUUUUCGGGUUUUUUUAAAAACAAUUCGUGUUUCUAAAAUUCUCGUAUUUUAAAAAAAAUCGUGUUUUCAAAAAAAGAAAAAGUUGUUGUGCUUUAAAAUUAUCGUGUUUCAAUCGGAUCACGAUUAAUAUUAAAUUGAACUCGUAUUUUUGAAAAUGAAAACAACGCGCGUUUAACGAGAUACCAAUUUUGGGCGUCGCGAGGGUGCUAAUACCUUCCUCGCGCGUAACCGACUCCCGAACCUUAAUUUUCUCUGAAUUUUUACGUGGACCUAAAAUUACCUCUUUUUAGAAAAGUUUAAAAAUGAAUUUUUCUUCUAAAAAGAGAAUUUUGUAGGUGUCCGAUCACACCUAAAAAAAGAUCGGUGGCGACUCCUUUUUUUCAAAUAAAAUCGAGAUUCAGUUUUCAAGUUUUUAAUAAUUACUUCGACAAGCGCCCGUGCGCAAAAUUUUUAAGUCGCUACAGCCUCUACUUGAGACAACAGGGUUUUGCAGGGAAUUCUUACAGGUUCGUUUCUGGCGACAAAAAAGAGCUCUUCACUAUAAGCAUACAAACAAGAGCCAAAACUAUGCCUCUUAGUGAUGAUAUUAGGCCUUAUGUUAUUCCUUUUCAACAUCAAACCGUCAACCGGUAUGGUAUGUUUUUUUUAUUUAAUCUGCAAUUUGUGAUAAUUCUUUGUUAUUUAUGUAUGGAAUUUAUUGGGAGGAAAUGCUGGAAAGAAUUCAUUUACGAGAAUUGGUCCAAGAUCAAGGGUGAACAUUACGGACCCUGAAAAAUAAGAGAAAUACUUAACAAAUUUAAUGACUUCCAGAAGAUACGUACCAAUCCACUGCUUAAUUUGCUUGUAAGCGGCCUUGUUAACCUCGAAGGAGACCGAUGGAGCAAGCAUAGAAAAAUCAUAACCCUUGCAUUUCAUCAAGAUAAGUUGAAGGUAUAGAAUAGUAAUGGGUACUCAAGACUUUAAAGAAAACAUCAUACUUAAGCCUAUGCUUUUCUGAUUUAGAAAUAAUUGGAUGCAGAAUAUGUUGCCAGCAUUUUAUCAAAGUUGUAGUGACAUGUUUAAGCAAAUGGGAGAAGAUGGUGUGUACAGAAGGAUACAUUGAGUUAGAUGUGUCGCCUUAUCUCGUAGAUUUGACAAGAGAUGUUAUUUCCCGAUCUGCUUUUGGAAGCAGCUUCGAAGAAGGCAAACGAAUUUUCCAAUUACUAGAGGACCAACUCGUUCUCACAAUCAAAUUAAUACAAACUGUUUACAUUCCAGGAUGGAGGUAACCGUCUACUUUAAUUUACUUGAAAAAGGUUGCAAAUGUUGGAAUUGGCUAAAUUCGUGUUUGUUUUCUUGAAGGUUUUUGCCCACAAAGACAAACAGGGAGGUGAAGAUGAAACACAAAGACAUAAAAGAGUCGCUCAGGGAAAUGAUAAAAAGAAGAAAGCAGGCAAUUAAAGCAGGGGAAGAGAGUAAUGAGGACUUGUUGGACAUACUUGUGGAAUCCAAUAUCAGAGAAAUGGAAGCAAAGAAUAUGGGGAUGAGCAUUGAGGAUGUGAUUGAGGAAUGCAAGCUGUUUUACUUAGCUGGCCAGGAGACCACUUCGGUCUUACUGGUGUGGACUAUGGUUUUAUUAGCAAGGUAUCCCGAUUGGCAAAGUAAAGCAAGAGAGGAGGUUUUGCAUGUUUUGGGUGACAGUAAACCUGAUGCUGAUGGCCUUAAUCGUCUCAAAGUUGUAAGUCCCUAGCAUGUCUCUUGAAGGCCCGAUCUCUGAGGUCGACAACUCAAAAACUUGGUUCUUUGUUUCGCUAAUUCUACAGUUAACAAUGAUAUUGUACGAGGUUCUAAGGCUGUACCCACCAGUGAUUGAGCUAGGACGUUCCGUUCCAAAAGAAAUAAAACUGGGAAAUUUGUUGUUACCAGCAGGAACAGACGUUUCGGUUCCAAUCCUGCAGAUCCACCAUGACAAAGAUCUUUGGGGCGACGCCGCACGGGAAUUUAAGCCACAGCGGUUCACGGAAGGGGUUUCCUAAGCAACAAAGAGUCAAGUCACGUUUCUGCCAUUCGGAUGGGGUCCUAGGAUCUGCAUUGGCCAAAACUUUGCCAUGAUGGAAGCUAAAAUGGCGAUGGCUAUGAUUCUCCAACGCUUCUGGUUUGAGCUUUCCCCUUCCUAUGCUUACUCUCCUUACAACAUGGCAACUCUUCGUCCACAGCAUGGUGCACAGAUAAUUUUACAUAAACUUGGCUGUAAUUGAAUUGUUAUGUAAGCAAAUCUUUGUGAAAAUAUAGUGUUUUAGUGUAUCGUCAACGUCUGUCUGUAAUGGUACAAUUCCGAUGCAUGAAUAGUAAAUUUUGAGAUGUUUGGUGAAGUCCGAAAUAAUAUGCAGAAAUUGAGUGUCUAUGGUGGACAUAGUUGAGGGACUAAUGUGGUAAUUAUCAAUCAAAUAAUUCGGUACAAAGACUUAUAUGGAAAUUAAAGCAGGGGGAGUUGAAAAUGACUACUCUGCUUUGGGCAUCAAUUUAGAAAGAUUUAAAGUACAAAUGUGUUAUUAGUUAAGGGAUUUGUUUUAAAGAGGGAAUGACAAUUAAACCUCAUGGUUGAUUUGUGGAAGGGAACCAAUGAUGGGAUGAUUACUCUUAGUGGUGAAAAAAAAACUAUUAAGGUGGUUAUUAUAGUUGUUAUCACCAGCCUAAAAUUUGAAUAGGUUCAGGUCGGAUUAUAUUGAGCUUGCAAGAUUAGUUCACGGACCAAACUUGCAUGAUAAUAGGUAUUCACAACAAGAUAUCUAUAGUUUCCAACAAAGUCACAUGUGAGAUCGUGCAUUAGAACCGCAUAAACAUGUUUUAUGUUUAGAAUAUGAUAUGUGUCUAUGUGUAUAGAAUCUACCUAAUAUAUCAUAUUAAUGAAUAGUAUCAAUUGCGGAGCCAAAAAAUUAUUUGUGAGGGGUCAGAAUUAAAUUGUAUAUUUUUACAAAAAUAAAAAUUAAAUUUCACUAUUUUAAUAGUUUAUUUAUUUUUAAUUUUUAAAUGAUUAAAUUAAAUUUUAUAAAUUUUUAGGAUCAAAGUAUAAUUUUAUCAUUACUAAUUUAAAAUUUUAUAAAUUAUAAAAAGUUUAUAUGAAAAGUUUUCUAUUUUAGGGUGGCCAAAGCCCCUGUCAACUUCUGACUCGAUCACUUGCGGUUAGUUGGGUAAAGACUCAAGAAAAAUAGCGGUGUGUUUGGAUGGACGGUGCGUUUACUUGCGGUUAGUGUAAAAAUAGCGGUGGCGGUGAGAUUAGAUACUAUAGCAACACUGUAGCGUGAGACAAAAAGUAAGUUAAACGCACUGCACUGCACUUAAUCGUCUAUCUAAACUCACCAUAAGUGUCUAAAAUAUGAUUUAAGUGAAGAUACGUGGGGUAGGUGUCAUGGAAAUGUAAAAAAAAAAAAGAAUCCUACUAAUGUAUGGGAUGUGUACAAUUGAAUGCAGGAGUGAAUCAUUUGGGUAACAUUUGGACAAGAAACAUAAUGAACAAAAUGAAAGGAGAGGAAGCUAGUAAUAAAAGAUUCUUUUGGGUUAUAUAAUUUGUUUGGCAUAUAUUUUUAUAAUAUUUAAAUAUCAUUUUGGAGUUGUUGAAUUAUAAUUUAUUUUUAUGUUUUAAAACAUAAUUAUUCUAUUUUUAGAGGUCAGAGUAGAGGUGAGCAUGAGUCGGGCUACUCGGCUCGGGCUGAAGGCUUGCGCAAAAUGUGAGAGAUUUGGGUAAAAAUAUAGGCCCGAAAAAUGAGUUUAGACAAAAAAAAAUAUAAGGCCCGUUGAAAAAACAGGCUAGGCCUUGGGUAAGGCAUUUUGGCCCCAGACCCGGCCCAACCCAAAUUCACUAAGGGCACGUUUGGUUCGCUGUAUUGGAAUAGAGGCGUAAUGUAAUAGAGGCGUAAUGGAAUAGAGACGUAAUAGCAAAUCAAUUGUUUGGUUGAAUGUAAUGGAAUAGAGGCGUAAUAGUAUUCUUAUAUUUGGUUGAAUGGAAUAGAGUUGUAAUAGCAUAAGGAAAAAAGUUAAAAUGACUAGAAUACCCUUAGCAGAAAUUUGUUUAGAUAAAUGAUUAUUGUUAUUGUUAUUAAAUUUUAAUAAGAUUAUUAAUAUCAGUAAUAAAUAAUUUAAUCAUAUUUUAACAUAAUUAUUAUUAAAUAUAAUUUAAUAAAAAUAUAUAAUUUAAUAAAAUUCUUAAUAUUAAAUAUUCUUAAUAUUAAAUUACUAAAAUCAUAAUAUAUAAUACUAUAAAAUAUAAUUUAACAUAAUUAUUAUUAAAUAUAAUUUAAUAAAAUUCUCAAUAUUAAAUAUAUUCUUAUAUGAAUUUACUAAAAUCAUAAUAUAUAAUACUAUAAAAUAUAAUUUAAAAUAAUUAUUAUUAAAUAUAAUUUAAUAAAAAUAUAUAAUUUAAUCUAAAGUUUGAAUGUGUAUUUACCUAGCAAAAAUCAAUGAACUCUCGUGUAACUAUAACCUUAAUAAUAUAUGAUGUAUAAUUAAUAUUUCGUGACUAAUUAAUAGCAUAGAGAUAAAUAUAGUAAUGACGAAUUUAUAGUAUACGAUUAAAAUGCUAAUAAUUUAUAGUAUACAAUUAAAAUAUUAUAAAUAAAAUAAUAGUAAAUGAUAUAUAAGAUAAAUUAACAUAUAAAUAAUUCAGAUAUGUAAAGGAUAUGGCUGAAUAUGGUUGCUCCAAUAAUAAAGGAUAUAUAAUAUAUCAUGGUGUUGUUUUGUUUAGAUAGUUCGGUAACUUAGGAGGGUAUGUAUGAAGAACACAAGUUGAUGCAGAUAGAAAGACGACAAUAUUACAUGAUUACAAUAUGAUAUAGUAUAUAUAUAUAAUUUAUGGAUUCCUUGCAAUCACGUGGGUUCUCUAGCCAUUUUAUUUAGCAUAUCCAGUGAUAUUAAGAUCCAGAAUUAUAAUACAACUAAAAUCUGUGCACACUUAUGGAUGAUCCAACAAAGCCUCAGUUGGCUUUAGGUUCCAAAUCUUGCAACCCACAAACCAUAUUUGCUGGCACUGCAACAUCAAUCAUCUUAGGAUAUGCCAAGUUAAGAUCUGUUGCACCAACAAAAACAGAGGAGAAAUUGGAAGGCGAUCCGAAAAAACCCAAGGAUGCUUUUUCUUUUCUUUUUUUUUUAUAAUCUUUAUAGACUGGUUAUAUUGAGCAUCAACUUACUUUCCAUGAUGUUUUUGAAAGUCUCUUACAAAAAGGGUAUUCAACAAAUAAUAUAAUCAGACAUAUUGAUAGGACAAAUUGAAACUAGUAUUCUAUGAUCAUAAUAAAGAGUAAUCUUUAAUCAAAUGCGUGAAGGUAUUGAGAUGUCAUGCUUUUUCAUGAUUUCCUGUUUUACCAUGGCGAUGUUCAUUGGAAUAGUCCCAUCCAAGAGAAUCAAACCAAUGCUCAGCAAGAAAUGUUCAAUGCAUAUGUAAUUUUAAUUACAGAAGUUAUAUGCAGCUUAUAUGAGUUCAAGAUCAUAAAAUACUUCAUGGACAAAAGGAAACCCUUUCUUAUCACUGAAAUGAAAAUAGGCACUCUUAAUUUUCUAUUGUCAAAAGUAGCAAGCCAUUUUCCAAAGAAAAGGGAAGAUGGAUGGUUCCAGAAAGAAUACCUCAUCCUUUGUCAAGUGUGGAUUAUAUAGCAUCUCCUCUCCCACAGUGGUUACCUAUAAUCAAUGAGGUUUAUAAAAUCGAGCAAUCAUUUAUAUAUGUAAGAAAUGAUAGGAAUAAAGUUUUAUAUCUUACUGAGAAUCCUUUGUAGUCAUGAGCUGGAUAUAGCAAUGUCUCUUUCGGUAAUGUAAAAAUCUGGAUCCAUGAAACAAAUAAGUCCAUAAAUUUUAUUCAAAUUUUGACAAUUACAAUAAAAUUUUGAGAACUCAAAGAAUGUGACCAUAAAAAGUCCCCUGUCCUUACCUGUGAAUGCACUGACUUGUAGAGUUGCUGUGAACUUCCACCCUGCAAAAUGCAUUAAUCAGUGCUAGUCAAUGGCUACUGAAUGUGGGAGCAUUAGAGAAAAUUAUCUUAAAAACUUAAGUAUAACAAAAUUAGACAAUGACAUCCAGAUGGAAAGAAAUUGCCAGCAUAUAAGACCAGCAUUUAUGUACUCACGACUGAAAAUCCUUUGCAAAAAGUAUAGCCCUGAUAGUUCAAACUUUUACUUCAAGGAUGAUUUAAUUACUGAUUAGUUUGCCAUGAGGCUUGUGAAUGACAAACACUUUAUGUGCAACCACAGUAACAAGGUAAGCACCAAUAAGUAGAAGACUAGACGAAUAGGUAACCAAGAGUUAGAGCUAAAACAGACAAACAGAGCUACUAUCCAAUGAGCUAAAACAUACAAACAGAGGUAUAUUUUAAUAAUGAAAAUAAUCGAUUGCCUUAAACACCAUAUAGUGUUCCAAUCAAUCAAAUUAUAGCAGGCAUUAAAACCUUUCCCUUUCGUUAAUUCACAACUAUUAGCUUCAUUAAUCAAAUCCUAUGUACAGUUGAUCGAUUGAAAGUGUAACAUUUCAAAGACGAAAUUUAAACGCAAAACUGGUUAACAUUGAAAUUACAUGUAAAUAUAACCUAAAAAAUCAAAAAAUUAAUCAUAUUUUCAGAUUUCAGGCCGAAAUGGAAUGAAAUGAAAGGUAAAUCCAUUUUUUCCCCAAAAAAACAAAAAUAAAGAAAUAAUAUUUCAAGAACAGAUCAUUAAAUUCAUGGUAUAUAUAAAGAAAUUUAAUUGAAAUCAAAGGAAUAGAAGAAGGGAAAAGCGUACUUGGAACCAUUGCUGCUACUCUCUGUUACUCUGUUACCUCAUACGAUUCGUUAAAGGGUUGUUAGGGUUUGUUAAAAGGUUGGUCAGGAUAGAAGCAUGAAAAGGAGGGAGAAGGUUGGAAGGAAAUGGGAAGAAAAAUGAAAAAAAGAAGAAGAUGCUGCAACGGCUUGGAGGGUAAAAGAGGACCGAUUAGGUAAUCCUUUCUUUUGGAAGGGAUUACAAAUCGGCGCUGCAUAAGGGAAAAUGGGGAAUCAGUGCGCUGCGUAAUAGGCCCGUAUUAAGGCAAUACAGCCAACCAAACAUGGUAAUCAGUGGGGCCACGAAUUAGGGGUGUAUUGGCUAAUCCAAUACACCCAACCAAACAUGCUCUAAAGGACAAAAAAAUUUGAUUUUUUAAAUAUUAUUUUCUCUCUAUUUUGCUAUCAUUUUACUAUUAUGUUGCUACUAUGUUAUUGUUAUUUUUGAAUAUUGUAUAAAACUUAUUUUAUUGUUAAUUUUGUUAUUAUUUUAAAGACAUUUGUUAAUUUUGUUAUUAUUUUAGAGACAUUUGUUUGUUAAGUUGCAUCUAUCUUAGUGUUAUUUAAGUAUACAUAUUUUUUAAAAUUUAUUUUCAAUUUAUUGGGAAAUAUUUAUUUUGAUGUUUUUAGUAUUUUGGAUGUAUUAUAUAUAUUAAAAUUAUAUAAAAAUUAAUAUGGCCGAGCCAGGUCAGGCCCAGAUUUUAGCAUUUUUAUUCAGGUCGGGCUUGAGCAAAAUUUUAAGCCCAUUUUUUGGGCCAAACCAGGCCUGGGCUUAGCAAAUGGGCCUAAAUUUUUAGUCAAGCUCGACCUAAACCCGAUCCGGCCCAUGCUCACCUCUAGAUCAGAGCUGCCCUCGCUUUGCAUUUCUUUGAGAUUCAGUCUUAUCUACUGUUGAUUGCCCACUCAAUGGAGGGUUGAGUAGAAAGAUUUGGUGAAGCAAGCUAAGCUAUCAAUCAAGGUUGGAGAAAGCUUAGGAGGUCACAAUGCAUAAUUAUUUAAAUGUAAUUCUAAUAUUUAAAUAAAAUUUAUUAAUAUAGUAUUAACAAGCCCUAAAUGUAAUGAUUAUAUACUAUUACAUUUUUAAGAAGAGAAAACAUGUUUGAACCUUAAAAACAUCAUUAUUAAAAAUGAUAAUUACAAAUUUUAAAAUAUAAAAAAUAUAAUUAAAAAUUAAUUUUAAACCCGAGCUGGAUAAAAUUCUAAUUUUAGAUAACGAUACUAAUAAGAAAUCAAUAUUAAAAUGAAAAUGAAAAGUAAUUUAAUAUAAUUUUUGAGUCUUGGGCAAAGGCACUCAAUGAAUGCUUGGAAAGAAAUAAUGCAACUUGGUGAUAGCUUUUGUUGGAGUAAUAUGCUCUUAUUAUAGUUUUAUGUUUUUAUCUUGCAAAAACAACAUAUUGGAGUUUUCGGCAUGAUUUUUUCUUAAUACUUUACAUGAAAAAUAAUAAUGGGACUUAAAUUGCUACAAUAUUACAACACAAAGUUACAAUAAGAGCUUAUAACUCAACAAAGGCUAUCAAUAAAUAAUCUCAGGCAAGCUAAAGAGAAAUGUUGAGAAUACCACCCGAAUAGUGACUGACUUUAAAAGUUGAAAACCCGAAGCUAUAUUAUCUCAAACGAAAUCAAACCAUAAACAUUAAAAUUUUCAAGUCUACUAGUUACUGUAAAAAAUUCAGCUCCAACAGACACCAAAUGAGCCUUUGAUCGAAGAAAGUACGAAAAAUAGUCUAGGUAAACCAAGCUUCCAAACUUACUUAUCUUAUCUUUAAUUUGCAGUGAAAUUCAAAAUUAAGAUUUUGUUUAUUUCACUUGGAACAACUUUCAAAAAAUUAUUUUUGAAAAAUGAAUUGGUUUUUCGAAAUAGAUGAUAUUUUAUUGUGUCAAAAUUUUAUUCAUUGUAGGAAAACUUUUUUUAAAUCAUUUUCUUAGAGUUAUUUUUAGUUAAAUAAACAUAACAUAAAUAUAUUUGUUACAAAAAAUUAUACUAGUAUUUUCUUUUGACAAUUAAAAUUUAUUUUAUGGUAAGACAAUAUUUUAUAAUAAUUAAUAUCAUAUAUAUACGUAAUAAAAAUCAUGUUUAAUUAAAAUUUAAUUAAAAUUAGAUGUAUUAAUAAAGCUACUCCUCCACAACCCGCAUCCGCAACAGCACCAGCACCAGCACCAGCACCAGCAUCAGCACCAUGGGACAACUAUUGGGUUUCCUCCACCUGCCUCUAUCGCUCCUCCUCAGUAUUACCCCCAAGCCUACCAGACCGUGCCGGGUAUUCUACAAAUAUGAAAAAACCUUCUUCUCUUUUUAUUAGCUUAUCGAAAUGAAGGAUUUUGAGAUUUGGGCUUUUGUUAGAUGGAUGGUUAAUGAUAUUUUUUAGAUGAAAGAUACAAGUUUUUUAAUGUUUUAGAAGAAAAGGUGUUUAAAUAUUAGGAGUUUUUUAGCAGAGAAAGAAGAUAAAUAAAUGCAUAGAGAUACAUUAGCAAUAUUAUUUGGAUUUGGUUGUCUAAUGUAAUGAAGAAUUUUUUAAGGGUGACCUGAGUAGGUGUGGCAAGAUUCAAAGUUUUUUCUAUUAUAGCAGAUAUAUAUAUAUUAAUGGUUUAAGAAGACUAGAAGUCGGUUUCAAAGGAAGAUGAGAAAUAAAAGCAUUUAUAUAUAUGAUAUGUCAUUAAUUCAUAAACCAAAUAUAUAAAGUAUGUAAAAGUGUCAGGGGUUAAUCAUGGUGUUUUGACAAUCCGGUAACCUUCAACUUGAAGAAAACCUUAGGUUUCAAAAAUUUAUGUGAAGAGUUAGAAUGGUAUGCUUCAUGGAUCUGAAUAACUAGAACAGUGUAAGAGUGGUAUAUUGUGUCAAGUUUGGUUUCUUGUAUAUAAUUGUAUCGAAAACAAUGUUACAUGAGUUAAAAUGAAUGUUCAUCCAAUUUAACAAAGCCUGCAUUAUGUUGAUCAAAAUUUUUAAUUCAUGUUGAGGUUUCUUCCGUGAUAUCUUUGAUGUCAAGGUUAUGAUGUUGCUGAAGGGACACCUGUAAGAGAUAAGCCACCGUGCUGUGGCAUUGGAUUCGGAUGGUUCUUGUAAGUGUACAUAGUUUUCUUUGUUUUUAAAGAGUUCUUUACAUAUGAAGUAAAACAAGUAGCGACUUGAUGGAUAUGUCAUUAAGCUUUAACUUAAGCAAAUCAUUUUCCUUCAUCUCUAAUUGCCAUUUCUUUAAAAGAAAAAGAGGAAGUUUUGUAGUUUACAGUUUGGACAAAUGGAAGUUAAUAUAAUGCACUAUUUGGAUGGACUAUGGAGAUAUCCAAUCAUAUUGGAUGAGUUAUAAGAAACCUGUGAGUUCAUAUUGGGUUUACUUUAUAUCAUAAUUAGAUUGUUGAGCUGGCUGUCAUACUUAGAUGGUAUUUCACGUUGCUACUUGUUAAACUAUACCACUUUCACAUUCAUACGUGAAAUGGCUGGGAUUUAGUGCCAUUCUACUUAGCAGCCUCGUGUAAUACACAGGUGAAAUGUUUAUGUCUUCAUGUCACCUUAAAGUUCCCAUUUCCAUGACGGUAUUGUUAAGUAAAGACUGGUACAUACCCCAAAAUACGGAAAUUGUUUUGGAUGUAUACUAUACUUUACCAUGCAUGAUUUUUUACAAGUUUGCAUGGUAUUUUAUCAUUAUAUUGGUCUUUAUUUUCUAUACUCGCAGCUUCCAUUAAUAUAUUUUUAUGAAUUUUAUCAUUAUGCUGGUUUGAAGGUUCAUCAUUGGUUUCUUCAUUGGGGGCCAUCCCUGGUAUAUUGGAUUCUUUGUUUUACUUUGUGCAAGGAUAGACGACAGAGAGAAAGCAGGAUAUAUUGCAUGCACAAUUGCCGUGAGUAUCUUUUCUAUCAUUAUUUUUUUCUUUUCCAAUUUUAUGAAAGCCAUCCUUCCUGCCUUGUAUUGAUCAUCAAUUUAACCAUUAUAUAUAUGUAUCUUAUGUAUUUGUACCAUGCUUUAUCUUCAAUGCAAAUAUAAGUUAAACUACAAAGAUUGGAUUGUUAAAAAAAGUUUAAAAUGUUAAAAAAAUUGAAAAUUUUGAUUUUGUAAGAAUGAUAGAAAACCAAGGCCAGUGCUUGCAUAUGUUAUCUACUACAUGCACAAUCGGGUCGAUGUCUGUAUAUGUUUCAUGUUUAGAAAUCGUGUUCAAUUGGGUUACGAUAUGUACAAUUGAAGUGUCAAUUUAUAAUUUCCUUAUCAAGAUUACACAUUUUUUUGUUAAUAUUCGGAAUCACUCAAUGGUUAUAAACCCUGAUUGGAUACUGUCCACAAAGUCUAGUUGGAACAUCCCUUGUAUUCUUUGUCCUUUCUAAGAACUUUCCUUUCCAUCAUUCUCGCUUCUGUUUUUUUUUUCUUCCCUCUACUUUAAGUCAUUAUCUAACGUAGAUAUCCCUUGUAUUCUUUGUCCUUUCUAUGGCAAUCGAGUCAAUUGAUGGCAAGCCAAAAAAACAAAAAGAGCAGCUAUCCUGUCUUACUCGAUUGCCAUCCCUCCUGUUAAACACCAUUAAGAAAAGGAAAAUUUUAGUUAAGCUUUAAAACAGCCAUGUUUUAACGAUGUUGGUGAUGGUGCUUGUGCAGGCCCUUCUUGCUACAAUUACAAUUAUUCUUAGUGCAACAAUUAAAGCUGGUGGGUGAUAAAGCACACCUCUUUUGACUGAGAGAUGUAUAGGUUCCCAAAUAAUAUGUAUAUGCUCCCCCCCCUCCCUUUAUUUUAUUUUAUUUCCAGUAAGUUAUUGUUUAUGAUAAUUUGCAACAAAUGUUUUUGUCAUUAUUUUGUUGGUGAAUGAUAAUAAGAUUAAGCUUUACUUUCUUAAGCUCCAAUUCCUUGGACGUUGGUGAUUUUUUUAUUAUAGUUGAGUCAUUGUAUGGUAUUAAUAUAAUUUAUGUCGCUUAAAAUUUAUAACUAAAAAUAUAAAAUUUAAAUUUUACUUCAAUUUAUUUGUAUUUAUAAAUGGUUAAUUCAAACUUAUUUUUUUCCUCAUUAUAUUUUAUAUUUAAAUUAACAUUUAAACUAUUUUUCAUUAGCAAUGUUGUUAAGAAUUAUAUUUUUUAGCACCAACAUCAAACUUACUAAAAUUAAAUUUUUAACUAUUUAAAAAAAAUAUUUUUAGCUAUUUAUCAUCAUAGAGAAAAAAAGGUGACGUCACCACGCCUCAUGCUUCGACACCACAAACUAGACUCUCAUCACCCGUAUUUAUCAUCGAUUCAAAUUCCAGAACUACCUAAAAAUAUAUCUUCAAACUUCCUCUGGUUAAGUUCAUUGAUAGUCAACUUACUAUCAUUUCUAAAAAAAAAACAAAUAAAUUGGUUAAUAGUAAUCUCAAUGAUUCAAUUUUAUUCUUACCAGUAUCUGUCCUUUAGAAAGGGGCUUAUAAAAGGGGUAGAGGUGAGUAAACUUGAGCUUCAGCUUUCCACAAACACCUUAAUUUGAAGACACAGUUCUCUCAUACUAAAAAAGACAUGGAAGUUUACCUUGUAAUUAGAGAUUUGGUUUCAUUGCUUGUUGUUGGGUUAUUAAUGAUAUGGGGAUGCAGAACUUUAAACUGGGUAUGGCUGGCCCCAAAAAGGCUCGAAAGCUGCUUGAGACAACAGGGUUUUGCAGGGAAUCCUUACAGGUUCCUUUCUGGUGACAUAAAAGAGCUCUCAACUAUGAGCAGACAAACAAGAGCCAAACCUAUGCCUCUUAGUGAUGAUAUUGGGCCUUAUGUUGUUCCUUUUCAACAUCAAACUGCUAACCAGUAUGGUAUGUUUUUUUUGUUUAAUCUGCAAUUUAUGAUAAUUCUUUGUUAUUUAUGUAUGGAAUUUAUUGGGAGGAAAUGCAGGAAAGAAUUCAUUUACGUGGUUUGGUCCAAGACCAAGGGUGAACAUUACGGACCCUGAAAAAAUAAGAGAAAUACUUAACAAAUUUAAUGACUUCCAGAAGAUACAUACCAAUCCACUGCUUAAUUUGCUUGUAAGCGGCCUUGCUAACCUCGACGGAGACCGAUGGAGCAAGCGUAGAAAAAUCAUAAACCCUGCAUUUCAUCAAGAUAAGUUGAAGGUAUAGAAUAGUGAUGGGUAAUCAGACUUUACAGAAAACAUCAUACUUAAACCUAUGCUUUUCUGAUUUAGAAAUAAUUGGAUGCAGAAUAUGUUGCCAGCAUUUUAUCAAAGUUGUAGUGACAUGUUAAGCAAAUGGGAGAAGAUGGUGUGUACAAAAGGAUACAGUGAGUUAGAUGUGUGGCCUUAUCUCGUAGAUUUGACAAGAGAUGUGAUUUCCCGAUCUGCUUUUGGAAGCAGCUUCGAAGAAGGCAAACGAAUUUUCCAAUUACUAGAGGACCAACUCGUUCACAUAAUCAAAUUAAUACAAACUGUUUACAUUCCAGGAUGGAGGUAACCGUCAACUUAAUUUACUUGAAAAAGGUUGCAAAUGUUGGAAUUCGCUAAAUUCGUGUUUGUUUUCUUGAAGGUUUUUGCCAACGAAGACAAACAGGGAGAUGAAGAUGAAACACAGGGACAUAAAAGAGUUGCUUAUGGAAAUGAUAAAGAGAAGGGAGAAGGCAAUUAAAGCAGGGGAAGAGAGCAAUGAGGACUUGUUGGACAUACUUGUGGAAUCCAAUAUCAGAGAAAUGGAAGCAAAGAAUAUUGGGAUGAGCAUUGAGGAUGUGAUUGAGGAAUGCAAGCUGUUUUACUUAGCUGGCCAAGAGACCACUUCGGUCUUACUGGUGUGGACUAUGGUUUUAUUAGCAAGGUAUCCCGAUUGGCAAAGUAAAGCAAGAGAGGAGGUUUUGCAUGUUUUGGGUGACAGUAAACCUGACGCUGAUGGCCUUAAUCGUCUCAAAGUUGUAAGUCCCUAGCAUGUCUUUUGAAGGUCCGAUCAAUGAGGUCGACAACUCAAAAACUUUGUUUCUUUUUUCGCUAAUUCUACAGGUAACAAUGAUAUUGUACGAGGUUCUAAGGCUGUACCCACCGGUGGUUGAGCUAGAACGUUCCGUUCCAAAAGAAAUAAAACUGGGGAAUUUGUUGUUACCAGUAGGAACAGAAGUUUCGGUUCCGAUCCUGCUGAUCCACCAUGACAAAGAUCUUUGGGGCGAUGACGCACGGGAAUUUAAGCCAGAGCGGUUCGCGGAAGGGGUUUCCAAAGCAACAAAGAGUCAAGUCACGUUUCUGCCAUUCGGAUGGGGUCCUAGGAUCUGUAUUGGCCAAAAUUUUGCUAUGAUGGAAGCCAAAAUGGCGAUGGCUAUGAUUCUCCAACGCUUCUGGUUCGAGCUUUCCCCUUCCUAUGCUCACUCUCCUUACGGCAGGGCAACUCUUCGUCCACAGCAUGGUGCACAGAUAAUUUUACAUAAACUUGGCUGUAAUUGAAUUGUUAUGUAAACAAAUCUUUGUGAAAACAUAGCGUUUUAGUUUAUCGUCAAAGUCCGGUGUCUGUAAUGGUACAAAUUCGAUGCAUGAAUAGUAAAGUUUGAGAUGUUUGGUGAAGUCCGAAAUAAUAUGCAGAAAUUGAGUGUGGUAAUUAUCAAUCAAAUAAUUCGGUACAAAGACUUACAUGGAAAUUAAAGCAGGGGGAGUUGAAAAUGACUACUCUGCUUUGGGCAUCAAUUUAGAAAGAUUUAAAGUACAAAUGUGUUAUUAGUUAAGGGAUUUGUUUUAAAGAGGGAAUGACAAUUAAACCUCAUGGUUGAUUUGUGGAAGGGAACCGAUGAUGGGAUGAUUAUUCUUAGUGGUAAAAAAAACUAUUGUGGAGGUUAUUAUACUUGUUAUCAUCGGCUUAAAAUUCGAAUGGGUUCAAGUCGGAUUAUAUCGAGCUUGUAAGAUGAGUUCACGGAUCAAAUUUGCAUAAUAAAAAUACUUAAAUGAAAAAAAUUUCUAUUUUAGAGGGACCAGAGCCCCUACCAAUUCCCGGCUCAGCUACUAAACAAUACCCAUAUCAUAUAAAUAAAUACCACCAUAAAAAAAACUCAAAGAAAAACACUGACAAAUGAUAAAUAGAUAGAUGUUGGAUAAGUGUCCAAAAUAUGAUUUAAGUGAAGAUACAUGGGGUAGGUGUCACGGAAAUGUGAAUACAAGAAUACUACUAAUGGGAUGUGUACAGUUGAAUGUAGGGAGCAAAAAGAGGAGUGAAUCAUUUUGGUAACAUUGGGACAAGAAACAUAAUGAACAAAAUGGAAGGAGAGGAAGCUAGUAAAAGAAAUUUUUUGGGUCAUAUAAUUUGUUUGGCAUAUAUUUUUAUAAUUUUUAAAUAUCAUUUUGGACUUGAAUUAUAAUUUUUUUAUAUAUUAUCUUAAAAUUGUAUAAAUUUUAAGGAGUUAAAACAAAAUUAUUCUAUUUUUAGAUGGUUAAAGUAGAGAUGAUAAUGGGUUGAGCUAUUCGGCCCAGCCUGACGAUCCACCCGAAAAAUAGGAAGGUUUGGGUAAAAAUAUAGGCUUGAAAUAUGAAUUUGAGCAAAAAAAGAGGCCCGUUUAGAAAAUGGGCCGAGCCUCGGGUAAAACCUUUUGGGUCUAGACCUGACCUAAAUUAUAUAUUAAAUAUAUAUAUUUUUAUUUUUAAUCAAAUAUACUUUUGUUUUAUUAUUAAUUUGGUUAUUAUUUUAGUUCUAAUUUGUUUCAAUUUUAAUAUAACUACUUUUUAUUAUAUUUUCAAUUUGUGCAUUGUUUUAAGAAUUAUUUUAGUCUCAUUAUUUAUUUAUUUUUUAUUUUAAUAUUUGUUUUAAAAUUUUUUAUUUAUUGAAAUAAGCUAAAAAAAUUAAUAUGGGUUGGACCAGACCGGGCUCGGGCCUAGUAAUUUUCUUUUGGGCCGGACUUAAACAAAUUUUUAAGCCCAUAUUUUGAAUUGGGUCCUACACUAGAAAAUGGACCUAAAAUUUUGUAUUACCUUUAGGUCAGAGCUAUCCUCGUUUUGCAUUUCUUUGAGAUUCAGCCUUAUUUACUUUUGAUUGCCCACUCAAUAGAGGGUUGAGUAGAAAUAUUUGGUGAAGCAAGCUAAGCUAUCAAUCAAGGUGUGCAUAAUUAUUUAAAUGUAAUUCUAAUAUUAAAAUAAAAUUUUUAUUAAUAUAGUAUCAACAAGCAUUAAAUGUAAUCAUCAUAUACUAUUAAAUUUUCAAUAAGAGAAAACAAGCUUGAACUUUAAAAACGAUGUUACUAAAAACAUUAUCACAAAUCUUGAAAUAUAAAAAAUACUUUUUAAUAUAAUAAAAAAAUAAUUUUAAAACCGAGAUGAAUAAAAUUCUAAUUUUAAUUAAUGAUACCAACAACAAAUCAAUAUUUAAAUUAAAAUUUAUCUUAAUUUAAUAUAAUAAAAUUGGACUUGAAUAUUGAAUUUUUGAGUCUUGGGCAAAGUAGAGGUGCUCAUGGGCCGGGUUGGGUCGGGUUUGGGAAAAAUUUCGGCCCGCAUCCUAGGCUCGGGCUCGGCCCGACCCAAAUAUGGGCCUAAAAUUUUGUCUAGGCCUAGCCCGGCCCGGCCCAACUCAUUUUUUUUAAUAAACACCAAAAAUUUAUUUUGAAAAUAAAAAAAUAAAAAAAGUAUUUUAAAAAUAUUUUAAAAUUUUUAAAAAAUAUAUAUAUUUAUUAUAUAUUCGGGCCGGGCCAGGCCCGAGCCAAAAAAGUGGCGCCCAAGGCCCGGCCUGUUUUCUAAACGGGACUCAUUUUUUACCCAAACCCAUAUUUCGGGCCUAUAUUUCUACCCGAAUCUCUCAUAUUUAGGGCGAACCGUCGGGCCGGACCGGGCCGCCCGGCCAUGAACACCUCUAGGACAAAGUCACUCAAUGAAUGCAUGGAAAGAAAUAAUGCAACUUGGUGAUAGCUUUUGUUGGAGUUAUAUGCUUUUUUUUUACGUAGUGGAACUUUCGGUGGAUUUUCAAGUUUCAUGAACUUUAUACUCUAUGCUUUACGUGAAAAAAAAAAUUCAUUGGACUUAAAAGUCUACCAAAAGUUUCACUAAAAAAAAAACCAUUGCUACAAGAUUACAACAUAAAGUUACAAUAAGAGCUUAUAACUCAACAAAGGCUAUCAAUAAAUAAUCUCAAACAAAUUAAAGAGAAAUGUUGAGAGUACCACUCGAAUAGUGAUUAACUUUAAAAAUUGAAAACCCAAAGUUAUAAUAUCCCAAACGAAAUCAAACCAUAAACAUUAAAUUUUUCGAGUCUACUAGAUACUGCAAAAAAUUCAGCUCCAACAGACACCAAAUGAACCUAUGAUCGAAGAAAAUACGAAAACUAGUCUAGCUAAAUCAAGCUGCCAAACUUACUUUUUAUCUUAUCUUUAAUUUGCUGUGAAAUUCAAAACUAAGGUUUUGUACUUAGAACAACUUUCAAAAAGUUAAUUUUGAAAAAUGGAUUGAAUUUUCAAAAUAGAUGAUAUUUUAUUGUGUUAAAAUUUUAUUCGUUGUUUGAAAAAAAAUUUAAAUCAUUUUCUUAGAAUUAUUUUUAGUGAAACAAACAUAUCAUAAAUAUAUUUGUUAUAAAAUAUUUAUAUUAAUAUUUUCUUUUAACAAUUAAAAUAUAUUUUGUGAUAAGGUAUAUUUUAUAAUAAUUAAUAUCAUAUAUACUUAAUAAUAAAUCAUGUCUAAUUAAAAUUUAAUUUCAAUUAAAUAUAUUAAUAAAGCUACAUAUAAUCAUAUUUUAUAUAAUAAAAAUAUUAAUAUAAAUAUUUUUUUAAUAAUAUAUUAAAGAAUAUUUAAAAUUUAAAUUUAUUAUUACUAAGAUUAAUUAUUAAAAUAAAAAUGUAAUGUUAAAUAAUUUAUCCAAUGAUAAGUUAUAUUAAUAAUUUAUUAUAUUAUUAAAUAUAAAUAAUUAAAUAUGUAUGUUUAAUAAUAUUAUGUUAUAAUAUUUAUUAUUAAUAUUUUAAUAUUUUUAAACAACCAUGUUUUAAAGAUGGUGGUGAUGGUGAUGGUGCAGGCCCCCUUGUUACAAUUACAAUAUUUUUAAGUGGGAUGCAUGUAAUAUAUUGUUAGGGUUUUAGAGUGUGUGGUCUUUAAAAGGGUUAAAUUAUAUAUUUAUAUAAUAUGAUUAUUGUUUAUAAAUAUAAUAUUGUAGAUAAACUUUUAUGCAUGUCAAUAUGUAUCCUACUCUGGGGUUAAUAUGUAUUUUUAGAUAUGGAUUCACCUAUAUAAUAGUAUGAAUCCAUCAUGCGGUCUCAUGAAAUAUACAAACACAUAUCGUGCGAACACAAAGUACGAACAAUAAAAAGUACAAAUCAAGACCAAUUGAGUAAUUGAAUAGCAGAUAGGUAAUAAUGACUAUCCCCUCUUGUUUGAAUUUAUUUUAUUUCCAGUGAGUUAUCGUUUAUGAUAAAUUUACAACAAAUGUUUUUAUCAUUAUUUUGUUGGUAAAUGAUAAUAAGAUUAAACUUUACUUUCUUAAGCUCCUUCAAUUCUUUGGACGUUAGCAAGUAAACUUGAGCUUCAGCAUUCCACAAACACCUUAAUUUGAAGACACAGUUCUCCCAUACUAAAAACAACAUGGACGUUUACCUUGUAAUUAGAGAUUUGGGCUCAUUGUUAGGUUAUUAAUGAUACGGGGAUGGAGAGCUUUAAACUGGGUAUGGCUGGCCCCAAAGAGGCUCGAAACGUGCUUGAGACUAGAGGUCCAGGCAAAUUUUUAGGCCCAUUUUUUAGGCCUGGACUGGGCCCGACUCGAAAUAUGAGCUUAAAAAUUUGUCUAAGUUCGGUCCAAAAGAAAAUUGUUAAGCCUAAGCCCGGCCCAUAUUAAAUUUUACAACACCAAAAAACUAUAUAUUUAAUAUAUAUAUUUGAUUAAAAAGUAUAUUUAAUUAAAAAUAAAAAUAUAUAUUUAAUAUAUAAUUCGGGCCGGGCCGAACUCGGGCCAAAAAAGUUUUACUCGGGGCUGGUCCGUUUUCUAAACAGACCUCGUUUUUUUGUCAAAAUCCAUAUUUUAGGCUUAUAUUUUUACCCGAAACUUCCUAUUUUUCGGGUGAACCGUCAGGCCGGACUAGGUAGCCCAACCAAUGAUCACCUCUACUUGAGACAACAGGGUUUUGCAGGGAAUUCUUACAGGUUCGUUUCUGGCGACAUAAAAGAGCUCUUCACUAUAAGCAUACAAACAAGAGCCAAACCUAUGCCUCUUAGUGAUGAUAUUGGGCCUUAUGUUGUUCCUUUUCAACAUCAAACCGUCAAUCAGUAUGGUAUGUUUUUUAAUUUAAUCUGCAAUUUAUGAUAAUUCUUUGCUAUUUAUGUAUGGAAUUUAUUGGGAGGAAAUGCUGGGAAGAAUUCAUUUACGUGGAUUGGUCCAAGAUCAAGGGUGAACAUUACGGACCCGGAAAAAUAAGAGAAAUACUUAACAAAUUUAAUGACUUCCAGAAGGUACGUACCAAUCCACUGCUUAAUUUGCUUGUAAGCGGCCUUGUUAACCUCGAAGGAGACCGAUGGAGCAAGCAUAGAAAAAUCAUAACCCUUCAUUUCAUCAAGAUAAGUUGAAGGUAUAGAAUAGUGAUGGGUACUUAGACUUAAUUUACAGAAAACAUCAUACUUAAAUCUAUGCUUUUCUGAUUUAGAAAUGAUUGGAUGCAGAAUAUGUUGCCAGCAUUUUAUCAAAGUUGUUGUGACAUGUUAAGCAAAUGGGAGAAGAUGGUGUGUACAGAAGGAUACAGUGAGUUAGAUGUGUGGCCUUAUCUUGUAGAUUUGACAAGAGAUGUGAUUUCCCGAUCUGCUUUUGGAAGCAGCUUCGAAGAAGGCAGACGAAUUUUCCAAUUACUAGAGGACCAACUCGUUCUCACAAUCAAAUUAAUACAAACUGUUUACAUUCCAGGAUGGAGGUAACCCUCAACUUAAUUUACUUGAAAAAGGUUGCAAAUGUUGGAAUUGGCUAAAUUCGUGUUUGUUUUCUUGAAGGUUUUUGCCAACAAAGACAAACAGGGAGAUGAAGAUGAAACACAGACAUAAAAGAGUCGCUUAGGGAAAUGAUAAAGAGAAGGGAGAAGGCAAUUAAAGCAGGGGAAGAGAGCAAUGAGGACUUGUUGGACAUACUUGUGGAAUCCAAUAUCAGAGAAAUGGAAGCAAAGAAAAAGGGGAUGAGCAUUGAGGAUGUGAUUGAGGAAUGCAAGCUGUUUUACUUUGCUGGCCAGGAGACCACUUCGGUCUUGCUGGUGUGGACUAUGGUUUUAUUAGCAAGGUAUCCCGAUUGGCAAAGUAAAGCAAGAGAGGAGGUUUUGCAUGUUUUGGGUGACAGUAAACCUGAUGCUGAUGGCCUUAAUCGUCUCAAAGUUGUAAGUCCCUAGCAUGUCUCUUGAAGGUCCGAUCUCUGAGGUCGACAACUCAAAAACUUGGUUUCUUUGUUUCGCUAAUUCUACAGUUAACAAUGAUAUUGUACGAGGUUCUAAGGCUGUACCCACCAGUGAUUGAGCUAGGACGUUCCGUUCCAAAAGAAAUAAAACUGGGAAAUUUGUUGUUACCAGCAGGAACAGACGUUUCGGUUCCAAUCCUGCAGAUCCACCAUGACAAAGAUCUUUAGGGCGACGACGCACGGGAAUUUAAGCCACAGCGGUUCACGGAAGGGGUUUCCUAAGCAACAAAGAGUCAAGUCACGUUUCUGCCAUUCGGAUGGGGUCCUAGGAUCUGCAUUGGCCAAAACUUUGCCAUGAUGGGAACCAAAAUGGCGAUGGCUAUGAUUCUCCAACGCUUCUGGUUCGAGCUUUCCUCUUCCUAUGCUUACUCUCCUUACAACAUGGCAACUCUUCGUCCACAGCAUGGUGCACAGAUAAUUUUACAAAAACUUGGCUGUAAUUGAAUUGUUAUGUAAACAAAUCUUUGUGAAAAUAUAGUGUUUUAGUGUAUCGUCAAAGUCUGCCUGUAAUGGUACAAUUCCGAUGCAUGAAUAGUAAAUCUUGAGAUGUUUGGUGAAGUCCGAAAUAAUAUGCAGAAAUUGAGUGUCUUGAAUGGAUGUAGUAUUUAAUGGUGGACAUAGUUGAGGGACUAAUGUGGUAAUUAUCAAACAAAUAAUUGCAUAUGGUACAAAGACUUGUAUGGAAAUUAGAGCAGGGCGAGUUGAAAAUUACUACUUUGCUUCGGGCAUCAAUUUAGAAAGAUUUAAAGUACAAAUGUAUUAUUAGUUUAAGGGAUUUGUUUUAAAGAAGGAAUGACAAUUAAACCUCAUGGUUGAUGUGUGGAAGGGAACCAAUGAUGGGAUGAUUACUCUUAGUGGUAAAAAAAAAAACUAUUAAGGUGGUUAUUAUAGUUGUUAUCACCGGCCCAAAAUUCGAAUAGGUUCAGGUCGGAUUAUAUUGAGCUUGUAGAUGAGUUUGCAUGAUAAUAGGUGUUCACAGAAAGAUAUCUAUAGUUUCCUACAAAGUCACAUGUGAGAUCGUGCAUUGGGACCGCAUAAAAAUGUUUUAUGUUUAGAAUAUGAUACGUGUCUAUGUGUAUGGAAUCUACCUAAUAUAUCAUAUUAAUUAAUAGUAUCAAUUGCGGAGCCAAAAAAUUAUUUCUGAGGGGUCAGAAUUAAAUUGUAUAUUUUUACAAAAAUAAAAAUUAAAUUUCACUAUUUUAAUAGUUUAUUUCUUUUUAAUUUUUAAAUGAUUAAAUUAAAUUUUUAUAAAUUUUUGGGAUCAAAGUACAAUUUUAUCAUUUCUAAUUUAAAAUUUUAUAAAAUAUAAAAAGUUUAUAUGAAAAGUUUUCUAUUUUAGAGUGGCCAAAGCCCCUGCCAACUUCCGACUCGAUCACUAAACAAUAUAAAUAAAUAAAUACCACCAUCUAAAAGACUCAAGAAAAACACUCAACGAUAAAUAGAUAGAUGUUGGGUAAAGAUACGUUUGGAUGGGCGGUGCGUUUACUUGCGGUUAGUAUAAAAAUAGCGGUGGCGGUUAGAUUAGAUACUAUAGCAACACUGUAGCGUAAGACAAAAAAUAAGCUAAACGUACUGCACUGCACUUAAUCGCCCAUCCAAACUCACCCUAAGUGUACAAAAUAUGAUUUAAGUGAAGAUACGUAGGGUAGGUGUCAUGGAAAUGUAAAAGACAAGAAUCCCACUAAUGUAUGGGAUGUGUACAGCUGAAUGUAGGGAGCAAAGAGGAGUGAAUCAUUUUGGUAACAUUUGGACAAGAAACAUAAUGAACAAAAUGAAAGGAGAGGAAGCUAGUAAAAGAUUUUUUUGAGUUAUAUAAUUUGUUUGGCAUAUAUUUUUAUAAUUUUUAAAUAUCAUUUUGGAGUUGAAUUAUAAUUUCUUUUUAUGUUUUAAAACAUAAUUAUUCUAUCUUCAAAGGGUUAGAGUAGAGGUGAGCAUGGGUCGGGCUACUCGGCCCGAAAUGUGAGAGAUUUGGGCAAAAAUAUAGGCUCAAAAAAUGGACUUGGACAAAAAAAUAUAAGACCCGUUGAAAAAUGGGCCGGGCAUUGGGUAAGGCAUUUUUGGCCCUGGGCCCGGCCCAAUCCUAAUUCACUAAAGGACAAAAAAAAUUUGAUUUUUAAAUAUUAUUUUCUUCCUAUUUUGCUACCAUUUUACUAUUAUGUUGCUACUAUUUUGUUGUUAUUUUUUGGAUAUUGUAUAAAACUUAUUUUAUUGUUAAUUUUGUUAUUAUUUUAAAGACAUUUGUUAAUUUUGUUAUUAUUUUAGAGACAUUUGCUUGUUAAGUUGUAUCUAUCUUAGUGUUAUUUAAGUGUACAUAUUUUUUAAAAUUUAUUUUCAAUUUAUUGGGAAAUAUUUAUUUUGAUGUUUUUAGUAUUUUGGAUGUAUUAUAUAUAUUAAAAUUAUAUAAAAAUUAAUAUGGCCGAGCCGAGUCAGGCCCAGAUUUUAGCAUUUUUAUUCAGGUCGGGCUUGAGCAAAAUUUUAAGCCCAUUUUUUGGGCCAAACCAGGCCUGGGCUUAGCAAAUGGGCCUAAAUUUUUAGUCAAGCCCGACCUAAACCCGAUCCGGCCCAUGCUCACCUCUAGAUCAGAGCUGCCCUCGCUUUGCAUUUCUUUGAGAUUCAGUCUUAUCUACUGUUGAUUGCCCACUCAAUGGAGGGUUGAGUAGAAAGAUUUGGUGAAGCAAGCUAAGCUAUCAAUCAAGGUUGGAGAAAGCUUAGGAGGUCACAAUGCAUAAUUAUUUAAAUGUAAUUCUAAUAUUUAAAUAAAAUUUAUUAAUAUAGUAUUAACAAGCCCUAAAUGUAAUGAGUAUAUACUAUUACAUUUUUAAGAAGAGAAAACAUGUUUGAACCUUAAAAACAUCAUUAUUAAAAAUGAUAAUUACAAAUUUUAAAAUAUAAAAAAUAUAAUUAAAAAUUAAUUUUAAACCCGAGCUGGAUAAAAUUCUAAUUUUAGAUAACGAUACUAAUAAGAAAUCAAUAUUAAAAUGAAAAUGAAAAGUAAUUUAAUAUAAUUUUUGAGUCUUGGGCAAAGGCACUCAAUGAAUGCUUGGAAAGAAAUAAUGCAACUUGGUGAUAGCUUUUGUUGGAGUAGUAUGCUCUUAUUAUAGUUUUAUGUUUUUAUCUUGCAAAAACAACAUAUUGGAGUUUUCGGCAUGAUUUUUUCUUAAUACUUUACAUGAAAAAUAAUAAUGGGACUUAAAAAUCUAUCAAAAGCUUCACCAUAAUAAUAAUAAUAAUAAUAAUAAUAAUAAAUUGCUACAAUAUUACAACACAAAGUUACAAUAAGAGCUUAUAACUCAACAAAGGUUAUCAAUAAAUAAUCUCAGGCAAGCUAAAGAGAAAUGUUGAGAAUACCACCCGAAUAGUGACUGACUUUAAAAGUUGAAAACCCGAAGCUAUAGUAUCUCAAACGAAAUCAAACCAUUAACAUUAAAAUUUUCAAGUCUACUAGCUACUGUAAAAAAUGCAGCUCCAACAUACACCAAAUGAGUCUUUGAUCGAAGAAAGUACAAAAACUAGUCUGGGUAAACCAAGCUGCCAAACUUACUUAUCUUAUCUUUAAUUUUGCAGUGAAAUUAAAAAUUAAGUUUUUGUUUAUUUCACUUGGAACAACUUUCAAAAAAUUAUUUUUGAAAAAUGGAUUGGUUUUUCGAAAUAGAUGAUAUUUUAUUGUGUUAAAAUUUUAUUCGUUGUUGGAAAACUUUUUUUAAAUCAUUUUCUUAAAGUUAUUUUUAGUGAAACAAACAUAACAUAAAUAUAUUUGUUACAAAAAAAUUAUAUUAGUAUUUUCUUUUGACAAUUAAAAUUUAUUUUAUGAUAAGACAAUAUUUUGUAAUAAUUAAUAUCAUAUAUAUAUACGUAAUAAAAAAAUCUUGUUUAAUUAAAAUUUAAUUAAAAUUAAAUAUAUUAAUAAAGCUACAUAUAAUCAUAUUUUUUAUAAUUAAAAUAUUAAUAUAAAUAUUUUUCAAUAAUAUAUUAAAAUAUUAAAAUUUAAAUUAUUAUUACUUAAAUUAAUUAUUAAAAUAAAAAAUUUAAUAUUAAAUAAUUUAUUCAAUGAUAAGUUUUAUUAAUAAUUUAUUGUAUUAUUAAAUAUAAUUAAUUAAAUAUGCAUAUUUAAUAAUAUUACGUUAUAAUAUUUUAAUAUUCUUAAACAGCCAUGUUUUUAAGAUGCUGGUGAUGGUGAUGCUGCGGGCCUCUCUUGUUACAAUUACUAUAAUUUUUUGUGCAAUAAUUGAAGUUGUUGGGUGGUCAAGCAAACCUCUUUUGACUGAGAUGCAUAUAAUAUACCCGCAUGUCCCCGCCUCCUAAAAUUUAAAUUUGUUAUUUGAAUCUUUAAAUUUUUUAAUAUAAUAUACCCGCAUGUCCCCGCCUCCUAAAAUUUAAAUUUGUUAUUUGAAUCUUUAAAUUUUUUAAAAAUUUUAAAUUCAUAAAAGUAAAAUUAUACUUUGACCCUCUAAAAUUAUAAAAAUUUAAUUAAUCUUUUAAAUUCAUUGGGCCCCUAAUAUAUUGUUCAGGCUUCACCCUUGAUACUGAUGUUGACUAUUUUAGAGUAUGUGUCUUCUUUAACAGGGUUAAAUUAUAUAUUUAUAUAAUAUAGUUAUUGUUUAUGGACGUGACAUCGUAACUAGGUUCUUAUGCAUGUCAACAUAUAUCCUAUUUUAAGGUUAACACGUAUUUUUAAAUGUGAAUUCACCUAUAUAAUGGUAUGAACCAUCAUGCAGUCUCAUAAAAUAUGCGAAUAUAUGUCGUGCGAACACAAAGUACAAUCCACACAGAAUACGAAUUAAGACCCAAUUGAAUAAUCGGAUACGAAUCAGUAAUAAUGAAUUUCAUAACAGCCACCAACCCCUCUUUUGUUUUAAUUUAUUUUAUUUCCAGUAAGUUAUUGUUUGUGAGAAUUCACAACAAAUGCUUUUGUCAUUAUUUUGUUGGUAAAUAAUAAUAAGAUUAAACUUUACUUUCUUAAGCUCCUUCAAUUCUUUGGAAGUUGGUGGUUUUUUAUUCUAAUCUUAUUUUUUUUAUUAAUUUCUUUUUUUAUAAUAAAUGUGUUUAUAGAUCAGGUUGGAUUAUAAUUGAAUCAUUGUCUGGUAUUAACAUAAUUUAAAUCGAUUAAAAUUUAUUCGACUGGAAAUAUAAAUUUAAAAUUUUACUUCAAUUUAUCUUAAUUUAUAAAUUGUGAAUUUAAAUUUAUUUAUUUUCUCUCAUUAUAUUCAGUUUUUCGGAUCAUAUUUGGCCCAGAACAAAAACUAGAACAAAAAAACAAAUAUAUAUGUUUUCCAAAAAUUAAAUUGUUAACUUUAAAAAAAUAUAUUUUUAGCUAUUUAUCAUCAUAGAGAAAAACAAAUAAGGUCACCUCGCCUUAUGCUUCAACACCUCAACCUAGAUUCUCAUCACCUGUAUUUAUCAUCGAUUCAGAUUUUUAUUUUUACUAUAUUCUAGAUCUACCUAUAAAUAUAUCUUCAAACUUCCUCUGGUUAAGUUCAUUCAUAGAUAGGUGAGUAAACUUGAGCUUCAGCUUCAACAAACACCUUAGUUUGCAAUUCUCUCAUACUAAAAAUAUGGAAGUUUACCAUGUAAUUAGAGAUUUGGUCUCAUUGCUUGUUGUUGGUUUAUUAAUGAUAUGGGGAUGGAGAGCUUUAAACUGGGUAUGGUUGGCCCCAAAGAGGCUCGAAAGGUGCUUGAGACAACAGGGUUUUGCAGGGAAUCCUUACAGGUUCCUUUCUGGUGACAUAAAAGAGCUCUUAACUAUGAGCAGACAAACAAGAGCCAAACCUAUGCCUCUUAGUGAUGAUAUUGGGCCUUAUGUUGCUCCUUUUCUUCAUCAAACUGUCAACCAGUAUGGUAUGUUUAAUUAUUAUUUAAUCUUCAAUUUAUGAUAAUUCUUUGUUAUUUAUGAAUGGAAUUUAUUGGGAGGAAAUGCAGGAAAGAAUUCAUUUACGUGGAUUGGUCCAAGACAAAGGGUGAACAUUAUGGACCCUGAAAAAAUAAGAGAAAUAUUUACCAAAUUUAAUGACUUCCAGAAGGUGCGUACCAAUCCACUGCUUACUUUGCUUGUAAGCGGCCUUGUUAACCUCGAAGGAGACCGAUGGAGCAAACAUAGAAAAAUCAUAAACCCUUCAUUUCAUCAAGAUAAGUUGAAGGUAUAGAAUAGUGAUGGGUACUUAAGACUUAAUUUACAGAAAACAUGAUACUUAAAUCUAUGCUUUUCUGAUUUAGAAAUGAUUGGAUGCAGAAUAUGUUGCCAGCAUUUUAUCAAAGUUGUUGUGACAUGUUAAGCAAAUGGGAGAAGAUGGUGUGUACAGAAGGAUACAGUGAGUUAGAUGUGUGGCCUUAUCUUGUAGAUUUGACAAGAGAUGUGAUUUCCCGAUCUGCUUUUGGAAGCAGCUUCGAAGAAGGCAGACGAAUUUUCCAAUUACUAGAUGACCAACUCGUUCUCAGAAUCAAAUUACUACAAACUGUUUACAUUCCAGGAUGGAGGUAACCCUCAAUUUACUUGAAAAAGGUUGCAAAUGUUGGAAUUGGCUAAAUUCGUGUUUGUUUCCUUGAAGGUUUUUGCCCACAAAGACAAACAGGGAGGUGAAGAUGAAACACAAAGACAUAAAAGAGUCGCUCAGGGAAAUGAUAAAAAGAAGAGAGCAGGCAAUUAAAGCAGGGGAAGAGAGCAAUGAGGACUUGUUGGACAUACUUGUGGAAUCCAAUAUCAGAGAAAUGGAAGCAAAGAAAAAGGGGAUGAGCAUUGAGGAUGUGAUUGAGGAAUGCAAGCUGUUUUACUUUGCUGGCCAGGAGACCACUUCGGUCUUACUGGUGUGGACUAUGGUUUUAUUAGCAAGGUAUCCCGAUUGGCAAAGUAAAGCAAGAGAGGAGGUUUUGCAUGUUUUGGGUGACAGUAAACCUGAUGCUGAUGGCCUUAAUCGCCUCAAAGUUGUAAGUCCCUAGCAUGUCUUUUGAAGGUCCGAUCAAUAAGGUCGACAACUCAAAAAUUUGGUUUCUUUUUUCGCUAAUUCUACAGUUAACAAUGAUAUUGUACGAGGUUCUAAGGCUGUACCCAUCAGCGACUGAGCUAGGACGUUCCGUUCCAAAAGAAAUAAAACUGGGAAAUUUGUUGUUACCAGCAGGAACAGAAAUUUCGGUUCCGAUCCUGCUGAUCCACCAUGACAAAGAUCUUUGGGGCGAUGACGCACGGGAAUUUAAGCCAGAGCGGUUCGCGGAAGGGGUUUCCAAAGCAACAAAGAGUCAAGUCACGUUUCUGCCAUUCGGAUGGGGUCCUAGGAUCUGCAUUGCCCAGAAUUUUGCUAU
rnacentral:lncRNA from 1 species